rnacentral:tRNA from 1 species
GCCUGGGUGGCUCAGUCAGUUAAGCAUCUGACUUCAGUUGAGGUCGUGAUCUCACAGUUUGUAGGUUCGAGCCCAACCUCAGGCU